UACAGAGGGUGCAAGCGUUGUUCGGAUUUAUUGGGCGUAAAGAGCUCGUAGGUGGUUCGGUAAGUCGGAUGUGAAAUCUCCAGGCUCAACCUGGAGGGGUCAUUCGAUACUGCCGUGACUAGAGUUCGGUAGGGGAGUGUGGAAUUCCUGGUGUAGCGGUGAAAUGCGCAGAUAUCAGGAGGAACACCGGUGGCGAAGGCGGGUCUCUGGGCCGAUACUGACGCUGAGGAGCGAAAGCGUGGGGAGCGAACAGG
rnacentral:rRNA from 1 species